ACGGGAGGCAGCAGUGGGGAAUAUUGGGCAAUGGGCGAAAGCCUGACCCAGCAGCGCCGCGUGAAGGAAGAAGGCCUUCGGGUUGUAAACUUCUUUUACCAGGGACGAAGGACGUGACGGUACCUGGAGAAAAAGCAACGGCUAACUACGUGCCAGCAGCCGCGGUAAUACGUAGGUUGCAAGCGUUGUCCGGAUUUACUGGGUGUAAAGGGCGUGUAGGCGGAGCUGCAAGUCAGAUGUGAAAUCCCGGGGCUCAACCCCGGAACUGCAUUUGAUACUGUCGGCCUUGAAUUCGGAUGCCGUGGGAGGAAUGAGUAGUGUAGCGGUGAAAUGCAUAGAUAUUACUCAGAACACCGAUUGCGAAGGCAUCUCACGAAUCCGACAUUGACGCUGAGGCACGAAAGCGUGGGGAUCAAACAGGAUUAGAUACCCUGGUA
rnacentral:rRNA from 1 species